GCUGAAUAAACCCAUCCCUAAUUAUCUUCUAACAUGUCCAAUGGAAAAUUAGGGUUCAUCUCCGCCAUUGAAGACAUCAAGUUGCUGAGUUCGAGUUGAUGAAUCUGUUCGUAGCGUUUCGAUCACGUCGUCUGAUCUUAUUUCUCAUCAACCGAAACGCUCUCAGUUACAGAUUCGUCGCAUUAAACAUCUUCUUAACUCCAUCAACCAUAUCUAGCCUUGAAUGCGAAUUUCCCUUCGGCAAGGCGGUGUCACUGAGCGUAUAAAAAGUUGCUGCGGUUAUGGGAGGCGAGAGACGUCAGGCGCGGUGGGGAUUUCUUCUCGCUGACAAAGGGAAACCGGAACUGUUACGGGCUACAUUCAACCGAUUCUUUUGGAUUUCUUCUUAGAUCGUUAUGGGCGUCGAUAUGCUCUCCUUGAUGCCAAGGAUAUUACUGAAGAAAAAAAAUCUUAUCCAUGCCCAACGGAGUGGUUAUUCGGUGUUGAUAUUGUAAAGAAAUAGGAAGAGUUUUCACGGUUUCACAGCAAGCCCAAAUAUACUUUGUUUUUGCAUCAUCUGGAGAUUCCUUUGAGAAGAAGAGGAAUAGAGUUCUUUUGGUUCGAUGGGAAAUUGGGUCAGAAGUCCGAAGAGAAGGUGCUGAAGGAUUCAAUGAAACCAUCACAAAACAGUUCUGCUUCUGUCUCUGAAACCUGGAGUCGAACUGAAUCUAACCGCAUUUUCACACGUCUUCUUAACGCGGAAGAGCAAUCGAUCAUAUGAGAACUAAUCGCGUAGACAUAGCAGCGACACUGUUUAGAGUUCCGUGAGUGAGAACAAGAUCAUAAUAGGCAGUACAAUGCCUGCUUUAUUGAAUCUUCUCUUGAACGGGACCCGAGAGCAGCUGUGGCAGCAUUGUUCAAUCUCUGCAUUGAUCAGGGAAACAAAGGCAUAGAGAUGAUAGCCGGCAUAGUAGCUACAUUGGUUGAGAUGCUAAGCUUUGAAGUUACAUGGCUGUGGUUCCCAUUGCUUGCACAAUGCCAAGAAGAUUGACAAAUCCCUCCGGCUUAGAAAGAAGGUCAAACCCACUCAGGGUUGUGAGGUUUCAGUUAAAGAAUAAUAAGAUGCCUGAGCCAAAAGUGCCGGUGAGGUUCGAUCUUGAUGAUCAUGAGCAGGAACCAAAAGAGAAGUCUCUGGAAGAAAGAGAGGGUUUGAAAACUGUUGAAUGGGAGGUGGAAGUUGUGAGGUUCAAAUCAAGCUGACGAAGAAAAAAGCUCUAACUAAGGCUAUUACAAACCAAGACGAAACCAAGAAGAUCGUAUUAUUAUAUUUUAACUAGCGUGGAUCCGAUAGUUAGAGCUUUAUGUCGAAACCGAGAAGAUCGUAUUACUCCCUCCGAAGCGUUGUUCAUGGUGCAAUGGCAGGUUACACUAGCUACAUCAGUAGUCUUAUCAAAUGGAAGACAAACAUACAUUCUUUAAAGCAGUAUAACAUAGAAACAGAACAAUAUGGUGGUUACGGAUAGGAUGUGGACAAGGCUAAUGUUUUAGACGAAUCAGCUCAGUUUUUAGGCCCUACGGAUAUAAUCAAGGAGAAGAAAGAGGUGCCGGAAAAGCUACUUAAGAAAACUGGUAUGGAGUUUUUGAUUUUCCUACGGCUUCUUAAAAGAUCGCUAAGUGAAGCUCAGAAAAGCAAUAUGUUCUAGCGAUUUACGCAUAUUUGUAUCAUUUUCUGUGUGAUGAGUUUUAACACUUCAGCUAUAUUCUCUUAGUACUAUGCUCAAGACGAAGCUGAACUGUGUAGAUGGUAGAUAAAAGCUUCACGUUCUACCCUACAAAUAAGUGAAGAAGAAUGACCAAAAUUAUUUGUUCAAAAAAAAAGAAAAGAAUGACCAAAAUUAAUGAUUAUUUUUAACACUAAGAAUUGUCAUUGUCGUCAAGGACAAAAUAAAGAAUUAGUAAUAUAAAAGUGGCUUCAUUGUGUACGGUGUGUUAUGAUUCUGUAAAUAACACAGAUUGUAUUGUUUAUCAUAUUAAAAAUAUAUUCUCAUUAUCGAAUGAACAGAAAAACAAUUAAUCUAUUUCACUUUUUAUAUAUAUUUUAGAUAAGUUAUUUUGUUUCUAAGUUUUCACGGGAAAAUAACCUAAUUCUCAGUAUCAAUGUUGCAGGAAGUGAAUGUUUUUUAAAUAUUUUUAAGAAUGGGUUCAUUUUCAAUUAAAUUAAUUUAUUGGCAUAAAUAUGUUAACAUAUAAUCUUUUUCAAAAUUCAUAUAAUAAAAUAUAAAAUACAUAAAUUUAUUGCAAUUUUUAAUAUUAUCGUGACAUCAUAUUUACAUACAAAAUCUAAAUUUACAGAAAUUAUCAA